rnacentral:rRNA from 1 species
UACGGAGGGUGCAAACGUUGCUCGGAAUCAUUGGGCGUAAAGCGCGUGUAGGCGGUUUUCUAAGUCGAAUGUGAAAGCCCUGGGCUUAACCCAGGAAGUGCGUUCGAAACUGGGAGACUUGAGUACGGGAGAGGGUAGUGGAAUUCCCGGUGUAGAGGUGAAAUUCGUAGAUAUCGGGAGGAACACCAGUGGCGAAGGCGGCUACCUGGACCGAUACUGACGCUGAGACGCGAAAGCGUGGGGAGCAAACAGG